rnacentral:rRNA from 1 species
GACGUUACCGACAGAAUAAGCACCGGCUAACUCUGUGCCAGCAGCCGCGGUAAUACAGAGUGACGUUACCGACAGAAUAAGCACCGGCUAACUCUGUGCCAGCAGCCGCGGUAAUACAGAGGGUGCAAGCGUUAAUCGGAAUUACUGGGCGUAAAGCGCGCGUAGGUGGUUUGUUAAGUUGAAUGUGAAAUCCCCGGGCUCAACCUGGGAACUGCAUCCAAAACUGGNAAGCUAGAGUAUGGNAGANGGUGGUGGAAUUUCCUGUGUAGCGGUGAAAUGCGUANAUNUAGGAAGGAACACCAGUGGNGAAAGCNACCACCUGGACUGAUACUGACACUGAGGUGCGAAAGCNUGGGGAGCAAACNNGAUUACAUACCCUGGUAGUCCACNCCNUANACGAUGUCAACUAGCCCUUGGGAGCCUUGANCUCUNAUUGNCGCACCUAACACAUUANGUUGAC